GCGGCCGUGGUCUAGUCUGGUCAGGAUCUUGGCCUUCCAAGCCAAAGGCACGGGUUCGAAUCCCGUCGGCCGCA
rnacentral:tRNA from 1 species